AGAGUUUGAUCAUGGCUCAGAACGAACGCUGGCGGCGUGCCUAACACAUGCAAGUCGAACGUGAAGGGGAGCUUGCUCCCUGGAAAGUGGCGCACGGGUGAGUAACGCGUGGAUAACCUGCCCUGAUAUCUGGGAUAACAUCUCGAAAGGGGUGCUAAUACCGGAUAAGCCCACGAGCUCUUCGGAGCAUGCGGGAAAAGGUGGCCUCUGAAUAUGCUACUGUAUCAGGAUGGGUCCGCGUACCAUUAGCUAGUUGGUAGGGUAAAGGCCUACCAAGGCUACUAUGGUUAGCUGGUCUGAGAGGAUGAUCAGCCACACUGGAACUGAGACACGGUCCAGACUCCUACGGGAGGCAGCAGUGGGGAAUUUUGCGCAAUGGGGGAAACCCUGACGCAGCAACGCCGCGUGAGUGAUGAAGGCUUUCGGGUCGUAAAGCUCUGUCAGUGGGGAAGAAAUGUAUUGAGGUUAAUACCCUUGAUACUUGACGGUACCCACAAAGGAAGCACCGGCUAACUCCGUGCCAGCAGCCGCGGUAAUACGGAGGGUGCAAGCGUUGUUCGGAUUUAUUGGGCGUAAAGCGCGUGUAGGCGGUCUUUUAAGUCUGAUGUGAAAGCCCUGGGCUCAACCUGGGAAGUGCAUUGGAUACUGGGAGACUUGAAUACGGGAGAGGGUAGUGGAAUUCCUAGUGUAGGAGUGAAAUCCGUAGAUAUUUAGAGGAACACCGGUUGGCGAAAGGCAGUUUCCUGGG
rnacentral:rRNA from 1 species